GGGUGCUCGAGCGGCGAACGGGUGAGUAACACGUGAGUAACCUGCCCUUGACUUUGGGAUAACUUCAGGAAACUGGGGCUAAUACCGGAUAGGAGCUCCUGCUGCAUGGUGGGGGUUGGAAAGUUUCGGCGGUUGGGGAUGGACUCGCGGCUUAUCAGCUUGUUGGUGGGGUAGUGGCUUACCAAGGCUUUGACGGGUAGCCGGCCUGAGAGGGUGACCGGCCACAUUGGGACUGAGAUACGGCCCAG
rnacentral:rRNA from 1 species